rnacentral:lncRNA from 1 species
GAGCAAGCGGCAGUUAUGGCGCAUGCGCAGCAGCAGGGGUGGCCGCAGGUCGCCGUUCAAUAAUACGUAAUUCAAGGGAUUUGUACAGCCCUAUAGGAGACACCUCCAGAGAAAGUAACAACUCUCAGUUGAUUAGCUGAGGUAUGUAUGUCAUUUAUGGCAAUACCUGUCUCCAUCCCCUCCGUCUUCUUCUAGGAGACCAAUUUUGUAAAUUGCUACUUUUCUAACAACAGUGGCACAGGUGGCCCAGCAUUCUCCCUUUUCUCAGAGCUGGUUUUCCAUCCUGGAAAGAGGUCUUACAUAUACAAAGUUACUCUAAUCAGUUGU